UACGUAGGGUGCGAGCGUUAAUCGGAAUUACUGGGCGUAAAGCGUGCGCAGGCGGUUUUGUAAGCCAGAUGUGAAAUCCCCGGGCUCAACCUGGGAAUGGCAUUUGGGACUGCAAGGCUUGAGUGCGGCAGAGGAGACUGGAAUUCCUGGUGUAGCAGUGAAAUGCGCAGAUAUCAGGAAGAACACCAAUGGCGAAAGCAGCUCUCUGGGACGGUACUGACGCUGAGACGCGAAAGCGUGGGGAGCGAACAGG
rnacentral:rRNA from 1 species